rnacentral:rRNA from 1 species
GUCAGCAGCCGCGGUAACACCGGCAGCUCUAGUGGUAGCUGUUUUAUUGGGCCUAAAGCGUUCGUAGCCGGUUUAAUAAGUCUCUGGUGAAAUCCUAUAGCUUAACUGUGGGAAUUGCUGGAGAUACUAUUAGACUUGAGAUCGGGAGAGGUCAGAGGUACUCCUGGGGUAAGGGGUGAAAUCCUGUAAUCCUAGGAGGACCACCUGUGGCGAAGGCGUCUGACUAGAACGAAUCUGACGGUGAGGAACGAAAGCUAGGGGCGCGAACCGGAUUAGAUACCCGGGUAGUCCUAGCCGUAAACUAUGCGGACUUGGUGUGAGGGUGGCUUUGAGCCGUCCUGGUGCCGAAGGGAAGCUGUUAAGUCCGCCGCCUGGGAAGUACGGUCGCAAGACUGAACUUAAAGGGAUUGGCGGGGGAGCACCACAACGCGUGGAGCCUUGCGGUUUAAUUGGAUUCAACGCCGGAGAUCUCACCAGCGGCGACAGCAGUAUGAUGACCAGGUUGAUGACUUUGUUUGACAAGCUGAGAAGAGGUGCAUGG